rnacentral:ncRNA from 1 species
AGUUGCACAUUGAAGAGAAGAGUAAGCUGGAAAUGCUGCUGACAGUGAGCCCGGAUGGUGAAAACGGGCGCAGACAGGACCGGCUGAAGAUGGCCUCUGAGUGUUUCAUUUCUAAAUGUUCAGGAAAUGACGGGACUGCCCGGUACAGCAGCAAGGACUCGCAUGCCGGUUAACGGGAUGCUGCUCCUUUUGAGGUUGUAUCUGAAAGGGUACAGCAAAGCAAGGUGGUAACGCGAAGCGGAAGCUCUCGUCCUUGUA